rnacentral:rRNA from 1 species
UACGUAGGGGGCAAGCGUUGUCCGGAAUCAUUGGGCGUAAAGCGCGUGUAGGCGGCUCGAUAAGUCUGCUGUGAAAGUCCAGGCUCAACCCUGGGAUGCCGGUGAUACUGUCGAGCUCGAGUCCGGAAGAGGCGAGUGGAUUCCUGUGUAGCGGUGAAAUGCGCAGAUAUCAGGAGGAACACCAAUGGCGAAGGCAGCUCGCUGGACGUACUGACGCUGAGACGCGAAGCGUGGGAGCAACAGGAU